AGGUGUGAUCAUACCAGCACUAAUGCACCUGAUCCCAUCAGAACUCCGCAGAUAAGCGUGCUUGGGCGAGUGUACUACUAGGAUGGGUGACCUCCUGGGAAGUCCUUGUGUUGCACCUC
rnacentral:rRNA from 2 species